UACGGAGGGUGCGAGCGUUGUCCGGAAUCACUGGGCGUAAGGGCGCGUAGGCGGCAUGCCAAGCGUGUGGUGAAAGCCCGGGGCUCAACCCCGGGUCGGCCGUGCGGACUGGCGUGCUCGAGCACUGUAGGGGCGGGUGGAAUUCCGGGUGUAGCGGUGGAAUGCGUAGAGAUCCGGAAGAACACCGGUGGCGAAGGCGGCCCGCUGGGCAGGAAGACACCGCAAGGUGUCGGCUGACGCUGAGGCGCGACAGCGUGGGGAUCAAACAGG
rnacentral:rRNA from 1 species